AGUCAGUUCUCAGCAUCUUAGGUCUAGCCUCCAAGCAUUAUUUAUAAUGCUAAUGUCAGCACCAUGACCCAAUUGUAUUCCCAUAAUCCCCUUCCAAGAGUGGAAGAAAGAAAACUCCCAAGAAAUAUCUAUCCCUGGGACGUCAAAGGUGUCUGUGGAGCAGUCAUUGUGUUGCUUUGUAAGAAGUGGCCACCUUCAACAUGGGAAGAUGCUCUAUCUGGCCCCGCCUAGGUCUGCCUGUUCCCUCAACACAGCCACUUCCCACUCAGUCUGCUCUACAUCUCUAUGCACACUGUCCAUCUGGCACAAAGAAGGAACACCAGCUGGUACAUAAACUAGCACUGGAGGUAUUUCCAGUAGCCUAUGACCUUUGAAUGGAUCAACCUUUCACAGUCAACUCCUGAUUAUCUGCAAAAGGCUUGCACAUCUCCUUGGCAAAGUUCUGGCACAUAAGUGUUAUUUCAACAAUACAAGAGAAUAAUUCCACAAGUUAAAGGAAUUUUCAUCUUGGCCUACACAAAGUAGUAGGAAGAUAAAUCUGCAGGGAAAAAGGAAUAAUAGAGCCUCCAAUGUCAAAGAAAAAUCUAUUCAUUGUGGAUUAUCUCUUGCUCUCCUCCAUUAAGGCAGAUAAUUGGGGUUACCUGAGUCUCUAACCUUACAACACUGCUGAAAGCUAGGUAUUAGUCUAUUUUUAUAGCUGAUGAAAAUGAGUGUCAGAGGUUAAGCAAUUUGCCUCAGGCCUUACAGCUAGUAGGUGUUGGAAGAGAGGCUCUUCAACCUCACUUACCUUUUGUAAGGCACUCCCCUCCCAAUAAAGCAAACAGCAGAAUGAAAUGAAGGGAAGACACUCCUUCUCUUUAAAAGCAUGAUUAAGAACAGUUAAAAAUUUGGGGCUUAAUUAUCCAGCCUUACACUUUGUCAGCUACCUAUAGUGAAUGUUACAUCUUGUCCUGGCCUUUUCCUUAUACCCAGUAACUUUCAGGCCCCUGUCAAUGGUAUGUGCUCAAUGGCUAAAGAAUAAUAUUAAUAUUAGCCUAAACAACAUUGCAUUGCAAAGACAAAAUCAAACGGGGAAAACAAUAUCAAGAUACAUGAUUCAAGAGCUAAGCACAGUGGUGCACAUCUGUAGUCCCAGCUACUCGGAAGUUUGAGGCAGGAGGAUGACUCGAGCCCAGGAGUUCUAGUCUGAGCAAUAUAGUGAGACUCUGUCUCUAAAAAUAAUAACAAUAAAAAGACAUAUGAUUCAUUCCAAGUCAAAUAAAAAAGACUUCUUAUCUUCAGAUAAGCUUGGAUCUAUCACUUUAUUAAUACCAACAGUAAAAGUUGCCACUAAACAUUGAGUAUGUUAGCUCUAAUUUAGAAAGUAGAAAUUAACAUUUCUAUAUUAAGUUGAGAAAACUAAAACUAAGCAACUUGCUCAAGGCCAUUGGCCUAAUAAGUGCUAGAACCUAGAUUCAAACCUGGGUGUUUCUCACUUAUAAGCCUGCAGCCUUCCUAACUGCACUAACGUCUAUAACUAAGAAAUGUUUGUAUGUGUCGCUCAUCACAUAAUUACUUCUCAGUCCCUCAUAAUUCUUAGAUAAUGGAAAGACACAAGACUGAGAAAUCUGAAUAGAGCCAGUGCCCAGAAAUUGUCACCACUGGAUUUAGUGCCUAAAAUUUCACACUUUCAGUCAGCCAAUGAGAAAACCCAGUUAAAUGCAAGAACAAGCUAGAAUGGAUAGCAUAAUAACCAACUAAGUUGGUGACAAAGUCCUGAGAAACACUCAAGAGAGGUCUCAGUUUACUGGUAAAAAAAGGAGGGCAUUGGACACCCAGGAGAAGUAGAAAAUGGCCUCAGCCUCAACAGCAAACCCAACUGUAGCACCACGGCUUGCCCUGGCUAGAAACACUCCCCAUCUGAUGCAUAGAAAAUGGCUUGUAUAACAUCUUUUAGCAAGGCAAUGGUUAAUGUAGUAUUAGAGCUCAGAGGGCCCAGCUGCUAAUAUACAAAUCUGUUCAGAAGACAUGGCUAGUAUCUACACUGUGUCUUCAAGAAACAAAUGGAGUCAAAAUCCUGAUUCUUCAGCCAAACAUGUUUGCUACAGGUCCCAAAAAGGCAUAUACAUAGAGUGAUCCCAUGCUCACAUACUUUAUUAUCAGCUGAGGUUCUGACCCCAAAUCUUUCCUCCUCUGUUGAGCUGCAUAAACACAACCCCACUAACCUAGUUAAGACUUAGCCUAGAAGCAGGUGAAGUUUUGUAGGCCAGUGGCUCUGCAUUAGUCACCUUGAGGACGUGUUAAAAGUUGGACUGCUGGGCCCCACCCACUGAGAUUUUGAUUCAGUUUGUCUAGAGUGGGACCUGAGAAUUGUUUACAUUUCUCAUAAAUUAUCUGAUGAUGUUGAUGCCACCAGUCUGUGGACCACACAUUGAAAAUGACUGUUAUAGACCUACACUCAAGACUUGUCCCCAGGAUCCUACAGCUACAGAAGCAGGAGGAGGCAAGGCAAGUUCCAAGAAAAUGCACUUCUACACAAGGGCAAGAACAGCUGGCCAACCCUUCCUUUCCCCAGAGCCCUACCUGAAUCCUCCUAGGACUUCCAAAGGCCCAGGGCCACCUUUCAACUGACAGGCUACCUCAGGCCCAUCUCUCAUUGCACCAGAUACACAGGGAAAAAAAGAAAAACAAAAUUGAAAAGACAGUCUGAAGAGCAAAAUAAGUCCCACUUCCCUCCAAAGGGUAGAAAAAAAUGUUAACCCCCUUGCUCCUCCCCCAGAAACUCCACUUCCUAUCAUGAUGACCAAGUUAUUGAUCAUUGCUUUUGUGGAAGAAUAAGGUUAAGCUUAGAUGUGCAAUUAACAAGGUUUAUAGUCACGCGCUUUGCCAGAUGAACAACUCUUUGCAAAAAUAUUUACCAUAAAAUAAAGAAAUUGGCACUUCCAAUAAAAAUAUCACUACAGACAUUUUAUUUGGCCAUCCUAGAGAAACAUCCACAGAAGUGAUCAACACAUAAUAACCUCCCAAUUAUCU
rnacentral:lncRNA from 1 species